rnacentral:lncRNA from 1 species
GAAAGGAUGAUAUUUGAGCUAAGCCUUAGUGUGUAAGUAGCCUUUCACCAGGCAGAGAAUGCAGCAAAGGCCUUUCUAUAAAGAGGUGCCACCUUCAUAUAAAAUAAUAAUAGCGACUGACCAGAGAACUCCACAGCCCAUAUGCCCUCAGGCCGUCCAAUCUUAUGUAAUAUAGAAAUGAAGCAAAACUCCUCCCAGUGCUGCUGCAAGUCAAUUAGAAAUUGAGAAAUAUAAAACUGAAA